rnacentral:rRNA from 1 species
UACGGAGGGGGCGAGCGUUGUCCGAAUUUACUGGGCGUAAAGCGCGCGUAGGCGGGUUGGUAAGUCCGCUGUGAAAGCCCGGAGCUUAACUCCGGAGGGUCGGUGGAUACUGCCAGUCUUGAAGGUGCUAGGGGGAGAUGGAAUUACCGGUGUAGCGGUGAAAUGCGUAGAUAUCGGUAGGAACACCAGUGGCGAAGGCGGUCUCCUGGGGCAUUCUUGACGCUGAGGCGCGAAAGCUGGGGGAGCAAACGGG